rnacentral:rRNA from 1 species
AACGAACGCUGGCGGCAGGCCUCAAACAUGCAAGUCUAGGGGGUGUAGCAAUACAUCACCGGCGGACGGGUGCGUAACGCGUGGGAAUAUACCUAUCGAUUCGGAACAACUGAGGGAAACUUCAGCUAAUACCGAAUACGUCCUAACGGAGAAAGAUUUAUCGUCGAUAGAUUAGCCCGCGUUCGAUUAGCUAGUUGGUGGGGUAACGGCCCACCAAGGCGACGAUUGAUAGCUGUUCUGAGAGGAAGAUCAGCCACACUGGGACUGAGACACGGCCCAGACUCCUACGGGAGGCAGCAGUUGGGAAUCUUGGACAAUGGGGGAAACCCUGAUCCAGCCAUGCCGCGUGAGUGAUGAAGGCCUCGGUCGUAAG